rnacentral:rRNA from 1 species
UACAGAGGUCUCGAGCGUUGUUCGGAUUCAUUGGGCGUAAAGGCGCGUAGGCGGCGGGGUAAGUCUGGUGUGAAAUCUCGGAGCUCAACUCCGAAACUGCACUGGAUACUGCUCUGCUAGAGGGCUGGAGAGGAGAUCGGAAUUCACGGUGUAGCAGUGAAAUGCGUAGAUAUCGUGAGGAAGACCAGUGGCGAAGGCGGAUCUCUGGACAGCUCCUGACGCUGAGGCGCGAAGGCUAGGGGAGCAAACGGG